rnacentral:rRNA from 1 species
AUUUAAAGAAAGCGUAAUAGCUCACUGGUCGAGUCGGCCUGCGCGGAAGAUGUAACGGGGCUAAACCAUGCACCGAAGCUGCGGCAGCGACGCUUAUGCGUUGUUGGGUAGGGGAGCGUUCUGUAAGCCUGUGAAGGUGUGUCGUGAGGCAUGCUGGAGGUAUCAGAAGUGCGAAUGCUGACAUAAGUAACGAUAAAGCGGGUGAAAAGCCCGCUCGCCGGAAGACCAAGGGUUCCUGUCCAACGUUAAUCGGGGCAGGGUGAGUCGACCCCUAAGGCGAGGCCGAAAGGCGUAGUCGAUGGGAAACGGGUUAAUAUUCCCGUACUUGGUGUUACUGCGAAGGGGGGACGGAGAAGGCUAUGUUGGCCGGGCGACGGUUGUCCCGGUUUAAGCGUGUAGGUGUGUGUUCCAGGUAAAUCCGGUUCACUUUAACACUGAGGCGUGAUGACGAGGCACUACGGUGCUGAAGUAACAAAUGCCCUGCUUCCAGGAAAAGCCUCUAAGCAUCAGGUAACAUCAAAUCGUACCCCAAACCGACACAGGUGGUCAGGUAGAGAAUACCAAGGCGCUUGAGAGAACUCGGGUGAAGGAACUAGGCAAAAUGGUGCCGUAACUUCGGGAGAAGGCACGCUGACACGUAGGUGAAGUGAUUUACUCACGGAGCUGAAGUCAGUCGAAGAUACCAGCUGGCUGCAACUGUUUAUUAAAAACACAGCACUGUGCAAACACGAAAGUGGACGUAUACGGUGUGACGCCUGCCCGGUGCCGGAAGGUUAAUUGAUGGGGUCAGCGCAAGCGAAGCUCCUGAUCGAAGCCCCGGUAAACGGCGGCCGUAACUAUAACGGUCCUAAGGUAGCGAAAUUCCUUGUCGGGUAAGUUCCGACCUGCACGAAUGGCGUAAUGAUGGCCAGGCUGUCUCCACCCGAGACUCAGUGAAAUUGAACUCGCUGUGAAGAUGCAGUGUACCCGCGGCAAGACGGAAAGACCCCGUGAACCUUUACUAUAGCUUGACACUGAACAUUGAGCCUUGAUGUGUAGGAUAGGUGGGAGGCUUUGAAGUGUGGACGCCAGUCUGCAUGGAGCCGACCUUGAAAUACCACCCUUUAAUGUUUGAUGUUCUAACGUGGACCCGUUACCCGGGUUGCGGACAGUGUCUGGUGGGUAGUUUGACUGGGGCGGUCUCCUCCUAAAGAGUAACGGAGGAGCACGAAGGUUGGCUAAUCCUGGUCGGACAUCAGGAGGUUAGUGCAAUGGCAUAAGCCAGCUUGACUGCGAGCGUGACGGCGCGAGCAGGUGCGAAAGCAGGUCAUAGUGAUCCGGUGGUUCUGAAUGGAAGGGCCAUCGCUCAACGGAUAAAAGGUACUCCGGGGAUAACAGGCUGAUACCGCCCAAGAGUUCAUAUCGACGGCGGUGUUUGGCACCUCGAUGUCGGCUCAUCACAUCCUGGGGCUGAAGUAGGUCCCAAGGGUAUGGCUGUUCGCCAUUUAAAGUGGUACGCGAGCUGGGUUUAGAACGUCGUGAGACAGUUCGGUCCCUAUCUGCCGUGGGCGCUGGAGAACUGAGGGGGGCUGCUCCUAGUACGAGAGGACCGGAGUGGACGCAUCACUGGUGUUCGGGUUGUCAUGCCAAUGGCACUGCCCGGUAGCUAAAUGCGGAAGAGAUAAGUGCUGAAAGCAUCUAAGCACGAAACUUGCCCCGAGAUGAGUUCUCCCUGAGACUUUAGGUCUCCUGAAGGAACGUUGAAGACGACGACGUUGAUAGGCCGGGUGUGUAAGCGCAGCGAUGCGUUGAGCUAACCGGUACUAAUGAACCGUGAGGCUUAACCUUACAACGCCG